UUCCUCCCAGGGUCGCACCUGGAGAGUUUCCAGUACUCUACCAGUCUCGACUACAGGAGGGAGAGUCGAGUAGAUGCAUAACCAUUCCAUUGCUAGCUUGUCCAAUGGCUAACGAGUGGAAGGCAACCUGCUACAAGU